GGAAGUUCCUGCAUUGAGAUAAAGAGGGUGAUUGGUUUGCUUCAUGAACUUGGAUGUUCAUGGACAAAUGUCUAAUUUACUGUUCAAAAAUG